UACGUAGGGGCGAGCGUUGUCCGAAGUUACUGGGCGUAAAGCGCGCGUAGGCGGGGAUUAAGUGAGAGGUGAAAGGCUGGGCUCAACCUCAGUAGUGCCUCUCAUACUGGUCUUCUUGAGGGCGGUAGGGAGAAGUGGAAUGGCUGGUGUAGCGGUGAAAUGCGUAGAUAUCUGGGGGAACAUCAGUGGCGAAGGCGGCUUCCUGGACCAACACUGACGCUGAGGCGCGAAAGCUGGGGAGCAAACAGGAUUAGAUACCCCCAGUAGU
rnacentral:rRNA from 1 species